UACGCUGUUAUCAAGGCAGUGUAUAUUAGGUCUGUUUCAGUCCUGAAAUUCAUUCAAGAUACGUAAACAAACAAAAUUCUGAAAUAUUUGGAUUAACUAACCAACAUACUCAAAUUUAUAUUUAUUUGUUUUUUAGGUGUUGAAAUUGGUUUAAUGAAGUAUUAUUUUAAUAAAUGAAUAUUAGCACUCGAUUUAGUAUGCAUAAUCAUACGGUAAAAUUAAUAUAAACUAAAUAGGACGAAUAAAUAAACAU